AUCAUAGACAUGUUCAUGUUUCAUAAGAUAUUUCCCCUCAAAUGAUGAUUCCCCCUAAAUGUGUGCAGUUAUAUCAAAGUGCAUGGGAAAUAUAUUAUGAAUGCAUAGCCCGUUUAUUUUCCCCCUUUUGACAUUAACAAAAAGUGGCUAGAUAACAAGUCUAAUAAUAGCAUGCUAGUUCAACGAACGUCAACAUAAUCGAUUAUUAUAUGGGAUAAUCGAAUCGUUUGCACUGGAA
rnacentral:lncRNA from 1 species